AUUGAACGCUGGCGGCAUGCCUAACACAUGCAAGUCGAACGGCAGCACAGUGUGUAGCAAUACACAUGGGUGGCGAGUGGCGGACGGGUGAGGAAUACAUAGGAAUCUGCCUUGUAGCGGGGGAUAGUCCGGGGAAACUCGGGGUAAUACCGCAUACGACCUACGGGUGAAAGAGGGGGAUCGUAAGACCUCUCACUAUAAGAUGAGCCUAUGUCCGAUUAGCAGUUGGUGGGGUAAAGGCCUACCAAGGCGACGAUCGGUAGCUGGUCUGAGAGGACGACCAGCCACAUCGGAACUGAGACACGGUCCGAACUCCUACGGGAGCAGCAGUGGGAAUAUUGGACAAUGGGCGAAAGCCUGAUCCAGCAAUGCCGCGUGUGUGAAGAAGGCCUCGGUUGUAAC
rnacentral:rRNA from 1 species